UGACAUUCCUAAGAAUGAAGUUGUUAUCGUGGCUCCAACUGCAGAGGAAUUCAAGAGAAAGAGGCUCCUGGAACGAUACUUCAAAACCAGUCCAAGAGGUCCUCCUAUCACCAACAUUAACUGGAGCACAGGAGGAACACACUUGCAUCUGAUACAACAUGUACCACAGGCUCUCAGACAGCAGUCACUAAGAGAUGCUGAUUUGCAUCUCUAGUGUCCACAUGCCUUACAAAUUGUUACAUAAAAAACACACAAAAACAGGUUUUAGAUGAUUAGACCAUUUUUCCCAUUGGCCAUGAAAAGCCUUGGCAGAGCCAUGAAUCUAAGAAGAAAAAGAAGAGAAAGAAACCAAUAAAAAUC